rnacentral:rRNA from 1 species
UACAGAGGGUGCGAGCGUUAAUCGGAAUUACUGGGCGUAAAGCGUGCGUAGACGGUUAUCUAAGUCGGAUGUGAAAGCCCCGGGCUCAACCUGGGAAUUGCAUUCGAGACUGAAUAGCUAGGGUGCGGUAGAGGGAAGCGGAAUUUCCGGUGUAGCGGUGAAAUGCGUAGAUAUCGGAAGGAACAUCAGUGGCGAAAGCGACUUCCUGGACCAAUACUGACGCUCAUGUGCGAAAGCGUGGGGAGCAAACAGG